AACAGCAUUUGAAAACAAAUCCAAAGUGAUGUAUCAAUAAGGACUAAGUGACGCACCAGGGACGGAGGGGCCUCACAUGCACAGUAAAGGACCCCGGAGCAAAACCCAAACCAAUUUUACCCAGAGAAGAAUGAAGGUUCUGAAAACCAGGGGAGGGUCUCAGGCAUCAAGAAGACAGAGUACGCUGGGAAGCAGGCUCAGGAGCGAGCCAGCCUGGGCUGGGCUUUGCCACUACUGCACGCUUAAUGUCCUCUCUGAGCACCAAGUUCUCUGCCCCUAAAUGGGGGUAAUAAUAGGACUGAUUCUUCCAGGGCUGUCUGAGCCUUAAAGCACUUAGUCCAGUGCGGGGCACAUACAAAGCCACAAAGAUGCAGCCACAAAGAUGACGACGACUACUACUGUAUUACCAUCGCCACUAUUAUUAUCAUUAAAGAGUCAACAAUGGAAAAAUAGGGAAGUAGGAAGGAGCAGUGGAGGACAGGCAGUAUUUACAUCGUGAGAGGUGAUGGAUGUUACAAGUUGGGGUGCGGGUGCUGGGGUGGAGAGAGACUGACUGAGAGACAUUGAGAAAGGCAGAUGGAAACUGGCCCCUCCUAACUGGUCGAUGAGUCCCAGCAAUACAAGGCAGUGCGAAACUGGAGGACCUGGGGUUCAUGGGAGUGGGAGAAGUGGCCACACUGGCUGAGCAGCAAGCCAUGAGCCCUCCGGAGGAUGCUAGAGUUCUGCACCCUGAGCUGGGCACAGGGGAGAGGACCACUGUGCUGACCCCUUCUCCCUCGCCAAUGCUGCUCUGGCUCGUUGGGGAGCAGCUGGGGGUGGGGUAGGGUGAGCUGGUGUAGUCCCAGCCCUCACAGCAGGCUAUGAGCUCACACACAUGCCCCCUCCAGGCCUGGCAAACAGGAUAGGUGCCUGGGUCAGGCCUGGCAAACAGGAUAGGUGCCUGGGUCAGCUGCACCCUCCCUAGGUCUUUCCCUCCCACUCGUUCCCUGGGGGUGGCCGGCCCGCCCAGCUCCCCUGCUCCACACCCAGCUUUCUCAGCCCAGGUGCUAACUGACACGCCCUGAUGACCACUCUGAGGGUCGCGGCCUCUUCCCUCCCCGCCUGAUGCCUGGGGUCCCAGGCUCUUUGUGGCUGAAAGGCGUGGCAGUGUCAGGCUCUCACCUGUAGGUGGCAGUAUGGGAGGGGAGCGAGACAGGAGACAGGAAGGCUGGCGAAGGUCACCUGCACCCAUUGUGGUGCCCCGGAUCCAGGCUCGCUUACACCUAGGAUGGGUCCUGUUCCACUGGGCUCCAUACCCUCGCUCCCUCUUUUGAUGUCCUGCCUGAUUCCUCCCUCCUAGGUCCCCUCCACCCCACCACCUUCAGGAGGCACCACCAGCCUAGCUCCCCAGAUGCCCCCACCCCCACCCCGCGCCCCAAAUUCCUGGGGUUAGGAAAUCAGAACACUUUGGCACUGAACUCAUCC
rnacentral:lncRNA from 1 species